GCGGGGGAUCUUCGGACCUCGCGCUAUUGGAGCGGCCGAUGUCGGAUUAGCUAGUAGGUGAGGUAAAGGCUCACCUAGGCGACGAUCCGUAGCUGGUCUGAGAGGAUGAUCAGCCACACUGGGACUGAGACACGGCCCAGACUCCUACGGGAGGCAGCAGUGGGGAAUUUUGGACAAUGGGCGCAAGCCUGAUCCAGCCAUGCCGCGUGAGUGAAGAAGGCCUUCGGGUUGUAAAGCUCUUUCAGGUGGAAAGAAAUAGCGCUGUUUAAUAGAUGGCGUUGAUGACGGUACCACCAGAAGAAGCACCGGCUAACUACGUG
rnacentral:rRNA from 1 species